GUCUAUGGCCAUACCACCCUGAACAUACCCCAUCUUGUCUGAUCUCAGAAGCUAAGUAGGAUCAGGCCUGGUUAGUGCCUUGGGUGGGAGAAAGGAUAGAAGCUGGGACGUCCAGGACA
rnacentral:rRNA from 1 species